AUAAUGCGGCAUUAGAAUAGUAGUUUCCUAAACUGUAGAUUCGGGUUCGAUUCCCGAUGCGACCA
rnacentral:tRNA from 1 species